AAGUUAAUACUUUUAAAUCUUCUGUCAUUGCAUAUAUCCAUAUAAGAGAAAUGAUCUUUGUUGGGUAUUAAAAAUAAU
rnacentral:sRNA from 1 species